UACGUAGGGGGCAAGCGUUGUCCGGAAUCAUUGGGCGUAAAGCGCGUGUAGGCGGUUCAGUAAGUCUGCUGUGAAAGUCCAGGGCUCAACCCUGGGAUGCCGGUGGAUACUGCUGGGCUAGAGUACGGAAGAGGCGAGUGGAAUUCCCGGUGUAGCGGUGAAAUGCGCAGAUAUUGGGAAGAACACCGGUGGCGAAGGCGGCGACCUGGUCCAUUACUGACGCUGAGGCGCGACAGCGUGGGGAGCAAACAGG
rnacentral:rRNA from 1 species